GGAGCAUGUGCACGCCUGUUAUU
rnacentral:rRNA from 1 species